AUGGGACGGCCCGCUGGGCUGUUCCCGCCCCUAUGCCCUUUUUUGGGUUUCCGGCCAGAGGCAUGCUGGGAGCGUCACAUGCAAAUUGAGCGUGCACCCAGCGUUCCGCCCUUUCUACGCUGGGCCGGUUAUCGACCCGGCCCAGUGCGCAGGCGCGGGAAAGUUGAACUAAUAAAGUUUGUACGAGUUCAGUGGAGGAGACCGCAAGUUGAGUGGAGGAGGCGGCGGUGGGGCCCCGGACCAGGUGCCUCCAUGGCAGGCUCUGAAGAGCUGGGGCUCCGGGAAGACACGCUGAGGGUCCUAGCUGCCUUCCUUAGGCGUGGUGAGGCUGCCGGGUCUCCUGUUCCAACUCCACCUAGGUAAGAGGAGUGGCCCUUCUCCCCCAGGGGCCAGCAUUUGAGGCUCCCUCCUAACUCUUGCUCCUGGUCUCAGUCUGUCUCCUCUCUUUAUAUCUGGCUCUAUUCUCUGUCUUUGGGGUUUUGGAGAGAGGUCCUCAGCGGGGGAGGGAGGGAGUUGGGGAAAGAGACUGCUUGCAGGGGAUCUCUGGUGGGGUCAGUCUCUGAAGUCCUCCUCUCCAGAAGCCCUGCCCAAGAAGAGCCAACAGACUUCCUGAGCCGCCUUCGAAGAUGUCUUCCCUGCUCCCUGGGGCGAGGAGCAGCCCCCUCUGAGUCCCCUCGGCCUUGCUCUCUGCCCAUCCGCCCCUGCUAUGGUUUAGAGCCUGGCCCAGCUACUCCAGACUUCUAUGCUUUGGUGGCCCAGCGGCUGGAACAGCUGGUCCAAGAGCAGCUGAAAUCUCCGCCCAGCCCAGAAUUACAGGGUCCCCCAUCGACAGAGAAGGAAGCCAUACUGCGGAGGCUGGUGGCCCUGCUGGAGGAGGAGGCAGAAGUCAUUAACCAGAAGGUGAUGGGCAUCUGUCCCACUCCUUGGCAAGGACAGGAGUUGCGGAAUGGAGGGCAUCCUGGCUGUUUCACCCGUGGACUUGAACUUGCCAUUGGACUGAGCUCUUUCUCAGAAGCUGCUACAAGAUGACACCUCAUGUCCCUGCCCUCUUCGUGUGCUUUUCCAAGUCUUCCUAUUCCACUCAGGGCUGUGGGGUGGUGGUUGCCCUACCUGUUUUUGCCAAAAAUAAAUUGUUUAAAACUUUUCUUAUUAAAAACGUUACAAAGUA
rnacentral:misc_RNA from 1 species